UCUUAUCAUAUGUGACAGUAAACAGCCCGUUCUGAGACAAAUAUUUAUCUGUGUUUUCAUGGUUAAACUGUUGAUGAGGAAUAGGUAGUAGUAUAUUGAUAAUUUUCCUUUGUUUCUCUUUGAUUUCCUCCAGGUGUCACCACUUGGUCCACAACAUCUUCCACAACUGCCAAGAUGUUGUCCACAAUCGCAGAGACAUGGUCCACGAUUUUAGAGACCUUGUUGAGGAUGAGGGAGGCAUUGUCCACGAUUGUAGAGACCUUGUCAAAGAUGAGAAAGACAUUGUCCACGAUCAGAAACAUUGUCCAUGAUUCACAGAGACAUUGUCUGUGAUCACAGAGACAUAGUCCACAAUCAGAGUGAGUCUUCGUCCAGUGAAGAAGUUCUUCGAGACCAUGACAGAGGCCUCCAGGUGUCACCGCUUGGUCCACGUCAUUAUCCAUGAUUGCUGAGACGUCAUCCACAGUGAUAUGGUGCAUGAUUGGAGAGACAUUGUUGAGGAUGAGGUAGACAUUGUCCACAAUCAGAGACACUGUCUAUGAUCUCAGAGACGUAGUCCAUGAUCUCAGAGUCCUCAUAUAACAAAGAAGUUCUUUAAGACCAAGACAGAAGCCUCCAGCUGAAUUCACAGAGACAAUAGGAUCCACCAAGGGUGAAGGAGGAGGAGAAGACUGCAUCACCUGAAGAGGACAACAAAAUUAGUUAAAUAUUCUUAAAGAUGUUUUGUGGUGUAUAAGACUUAAAUAAGCAUAUCCUCAUAUGUGCUCAUCACUACAUUAUAUUUGGGGUGCGAGAAUACAACAAAGUGUCUCCAGGUGGUCAAUCAUCUGUCAUUAUCUCUGCUGUGGUUUGUUAAAUGUUGUCUAGAAGAGAAUCAAUAAAGUUUUGUAUGUUAACCUUUGAGUUUCUCUAUUUUCAAAUUAAUAAUCUCCGCUUUGGGUGAAACCCUAACCCUAACCCUAACUGAAAUGUAGAAUUAAGACUGAAAACUCAAAUCUCUGGCUAAAAGCAGCAAUCCUAAUCCUAACCUCUGGCUACAAGUGGUUAAAAAACCUGUAACCCUAACCCUAACCCUCACCCUUUGCUAAAAGCCGUAACCCUAACUCUAACCCUAACCUCUGGUUACAAGUGGCUAAGAGUCGUAACCCUAACCCUAACCUCUGGCUACAAGUGGCUAAAAGCCGUAACAACUUUUAGCCACUUGGUCACAGGUUAGGGUUAGGGUUACAGGUUUUUUAACCACUUGUAGCCAGAGGUUAGGGUUAGGGUUAGGACUUUUAACCACUUGUAGCCAGAGGUUAGGGUUACGACUUUUAGCCACUUGGUCAGGGGUUAGGGUUAGGGUUACAGGUUUUUUAACCACUUGUAGCCAGAGGUUAGGGUUAGGGUUACAGCUUUUAGACACUUGU